CCCUUAGAUGUCCUGGGCCGCACGCGCGUUACACUGAUGCAUUCAACGAGCUUAUAACCUUGGCCGAGAGGCCUGGGCAAUCUUGUUAACGUGCAUCGUGAUAGGGAUAGAUUAUUGAAAUUAUUAAUCUUGAACGAGGAAUUCCUAGUAAACGCAGAUCAUCAAUCUGCAUUGAUUACGUCCCUGCCCUUUGUACACACCGCCCGUCGCACCUACCGAUUGGAUGGUCCGGUGAAGCCUCGGGAUUGUGGUUCUUGCCGCUUUAUUGUGGCGUGACCGCGAGAACAUGUCUAAACCUUAUCAUCUAGAGGAAGGUGAAGUCGUAACA
rnacentral:rRNA from 1 species